GACGAACGCUGGCGGCGUGCUUAACACAUGCAAGUCGAGCGGAGCGGCGAACGGGUGCGUAACGCGUGAGUAACUGCCCCCCUCUCUGGGAUAACAGUUGGAAACGGCUGCUAAUACCGGAUAGUGGGGGAUGACUCGCGUCCUAUCAGCUUGUUGGUGGGGUAGUGGCCUACCAAGGCGACGACGGGUAGCCGGCCUGGGAGGGCGACCGGCCACAUUGGGCUGAGAGACGGAGCAGAGGCCUACGGGGGGCAGCAGUGGGGAAUAUGGCACAACCGUGGAAAGCCUGAUGCAGCAACGCCGGGUGCGGGAUGACGGCCUUCGGGGUGUAAACCGCUUGAAGCCAUGACGCGGUAGUGGCAGAAGAAGCACCGGCUAACUACGUGCCAGCAGCCGCGGUAAUAC
rnacentral:rRNA from 1 species